rnacentral:rRNA from 1 species
UACGGGGGGGCAAGCGUUGUUCGGAAUUACUGGGCGUAAAGGGCCAGUAGGCGGCCAACUAAGUCGGAUGUGAAAUCCCCAGGCUCAACCUGGGAACUGCAUCCGAUACUGGAUGGCUUGAAUUCGGGAGAGGAUGCAGAAUUCCAGGUGUAGCGGUGAAAUGCGUAGAUAUCUGGAGGAAUACCGGUGGCGAAGGCGGCAUCCUGGACCGACAUUGACGCUGAACGGCGAAAGCUAGGGGAGCAAACGGG